rnacentral:rRNA from 1 species
ACGCUCGACACCUACGGGAGGCAGCAGUGGGGAAUAUUGCACAAUGGGGGAAACCCUGAUGCAGCGACGCCGCGUGAGUGAAGAAGUAUUUCGGUAUGUAAAGCUCUAUCAGCAGGGAAGAGAAUGACGGUACCUGACUAAGAAGCCCCGGCUAACUACGCGCCAGCACGCCGGACGGUAAUCUAGGAGGCCGGGGUCGUCGGACGAAGGC